rnacentral:tRNA from 1 species
AAGAAUUUAGUUGAUAGACAACAAUAAAUUGCAGAUUUAUAAGAGUGGUUACAAUUCUUU